rnacentral:lncRNA from 1 species
CAAUUCAAGAUGAGAUUUGGGUGGAGACACAGCCAAACCAUAUCAUUGACUGACUUAAAUUCAACAGAACUGUGCUUUGGAGGACAUCGUUGCGCUGCUGACUUCUAACACUGAGAGAGAAGGGAGAUUGUGAAAGGUACAAGAGGCAGGGGAGCAGCCCACUGAGCUACCCCAGGAAUUUCCCUGACAAUCAGUUUUAAGGAGGACAUGCAGAAGUUGAAGAUGUGGAACACACAUCCCAUCUAAGGGGUGACAUCCUUCAGUUUGUGGACAGCUGGUCUAAUUCACUGGAGGAGGAACACAGCUCCCCUGGGGCCAUGCUCUGGCCACAGAACAGUGUGCAAGAGGUCAUUUAUGUUCAGGAAAUACUGCUACACAACCUUGAACUACUUCACACAUCGAAAAAGAACACGUACUCUUUCUCUACCAAAAGUGAAUUUAUCAGUUACACAUACAAGGUGAUCCUGCCUUAUCCUGGAGAAAGAAAUGUUAUGCAAGAGGCCAAGAAGAAGCUAAACAAACAAGCCAUGAUGGAUUCCCAUCUCAGCUUAUUACCAUUGGGACAUGUCCUUUUUGUCCAAUCACAUUUCUACAUGGCAGUACAGUCUUCAUCAAACCUAAGCAUUAAAAAAAAAGUUUUCUCUGGGUCUUUGGGUCUUUUGUUUCGGAAGGCUCCUGUAUUACAUAAAACUUUGUUAAAU